AACGCAACUUGCGCCUUUUACGAGGCAUGUUUGUUUGAGUGCCGUACUCCUCUGCAGCAAUGCGAUUUGACUUGCGUCUUUGUUGACCGAGUUUAAACAGAGCUAGAGGAUGGUCAGUUUGGACUAGUCCGAGUGCUAAGCAUUCUUGGGUCUAGGACGGAUUGGUCAUUAAUCUAUCUUUAUAUUUUGGCCUCAAAUCAAGCAAGACUACCCGCUGAACUUAA
rnacentral:misc_RNA from 1 species